GGAUAGCUAGCUGGUAAGAGCAUGGUGCUGAUAAUGCCAAGGUUGCAGGUUCAAUCCCUAUUAUAUAUA